rnacentral:rRNA from 1 species
AGCUCCAAUAGCGUAUAUUAAAGUUGUUGCAGUUAAAAAGCUCGUAGUCGGAUUUUGGCAUCACGCCGUACUGUCUGCCGAUUGGUAUGCACGGUUUGGCGGGUGCUUCCUUCCGGAGGCUCGUUCCCUCCUUAACUGAAGGGUUCGUUGGUUCCGGUUCUUUUACUUUGAGAAAAUUAGAGUGUUCAAAGCAGGCCUAUGCUCUGAAUAGGUUAGCAUGGAAUAAUAGAAUAGGACUUUGGUUCUAUUUUGUUGGUUUCUAGGACCGAAGUAAUGAUAAAUAGGGACAGUUGGGGGCAUUCAUAUUCCAUUGUCAGAGGUGAAAUUCUUGGAUUAACGGAAGAUGAACUUCUGCGAAAGCAUCUGCCAAGGAUGUUUUCAUUG